rnacentral:rRNA from 1 species
UACGGAGGGUGCGAGCGUUGUCCGGAAUCAUUGGGCGUAAAGCGUGCGCAGGCGGUUCGUUGUGUCGGCGGUGAAAGCCCCGGGCUCAACCUGGGAAUGGCCGUUGAAACUGGCGAACUGGAGUGUGGCAGAGGGGGGUGGAAUUCCGCGUGUAGCAGUGAAAUGCGUAGAGAUGCGGAGGAACACCGAUGGCGAAGGCAGCCCCCUGGGCUGACACUGACGCUCAGGCACGAAAGCGUGGGGAGCAAACAGG